CAAGAAUAGAAAAUAAGGUACUCUCUAAAUAAUGUGUGAGGUUUCAGAUUCUGUAAUUUGUUUUACUGUUGCUAACUGAGCAUGCUUAGAUAAUGUGGUGAUUUGAGUGGAGUUUCAGAGUCGACCGUUCAUGUCUGCAGUCUCAAGUUUCUAUAUGUAUAGUUUGAGACCUAAUAAGUACUGAUCAUUUCAGAAAGUUUCAUGUUUCAUACUUAUGAUUGAUACUGAUUGUAUUCACGUAAUUGGGCCACUUGGAUACGGUGGUUGGCUAACUAAUAAGUAAGAUGUACCCAGUUCUGCAUAAAGAUUUAGGCACCCUAAUUUCUUAAAUCUUUGUGGAGUCAGAGGUGUUGAAUGUUUUUGUUCGAAGUCUUUUUGAAAUGAUGAGUGAUGCAUACCUAUUCAAUGUUUUACAUGGUACUGCAAGUGAAGAAAUGAUUUGUACUGAACCAUCUAAUGGGUUAUUGUGUUUCUUUGAAGUCAUGAAUUUGUAGCAACCGACGCCCUCAUUGCCAUUCUUUUUGAAAGAUAUCCAAGAUAGUUAAAGCAUUGUGGGGACGAGGAGGCCGAGCAGUCCUUUGUGUCUCCGCCGUCGCCGGCCGCACCGGUAUGUUGUGCCCCUUUCCCUGCUUCACGUCCUAGGCUACUCCACCCCCACUGGAUACGAGUGUGGCCAUGACAGAGGAAUCUUGUGCAGGGGGAUUUGAUGCAUAGCAUGUUAUGUACAUGCAAUGGAAAUGUUACACAGUGAAACACAUUUUGAUCUUCUAAUAUUAAUAUGCAUUGCUGGUAUGAAGGUUAUUAUUUGUUGUUUCACACACACACACAAGGUUAUUAUUUGUUGUUUCACACAUUGUAUUGGGGAAAAAAUUAGGACUAAAGGUUUUGGUAUGUCUGAUUGUCGACAUGCCACCGGAGGUGCAUGAUUGUCUGAUAGGCUUGAAUUCUUAAGUUUUCUUUCUUAUUGGUCUUGUUUGUUUUUAUUUUGUUGAAAACCCAUGAUUUUACCAUAACCCAAAAUUGCUGAGUUAAAUGGAGAGGCUCAAUGAGAAGUUUCGGGACAUGGAAGAAAUUGAUUGUUCUAAUUUAAGUAAUAUAAAAAGAAAAGUAGUAUUUUCUAUUAGUAACAUAUGUCUAUAAUAUUAUGAUUUACCUCUGCUAAUAGGUGUCGUCGUUGAAAAGAAGCAUGCCCAAAUUUGUAAGCCCAUAUUGGUAUUACUUUCCAGUAAUCAACAUCCAACAAAAUAUAUAUUUAUGAAUGAUCUAUUAUCUUGCCAUGAAUAACAAUGAUAAAUUUGUUGUUGACUCAUGUUAUAUCCUCACAAAUAAAGUGUCACAUGGAACUUUCUCUAUCAGUUCAGGCUGGAUGGGCAAGACGACAUACUGCAGACCGGGACCAAGAGUUAUGUUCAUUAUCAGUGAUAUGUGUUAAUACUCUCCUAGAGAUUGAUUUUUUUGCGAUCGCAAAAAAAGGAGCCAGAUACAUGGCGAGCUUCCAAAUAUCAAGUUGCAAGUACCUUCGUUGCUUUGGACCUUGCCAUGGAAGGAUGAACACUAAAUGACCACAAAAUGCCUCUAGAUUAUGAGUAAGCGUGUUUCUACCUUCAGCGGUUUGGGCAUCUGCUUUGUCUCUGUGGCUGGUUUUGGUUUCACGGGUACCUGAUUUUGCUUGGAACAACCACAGGUGCUGCAGCUUGGUUUGCUGACUAGCAAUGUUUUGUUUCUUUGGUGGACAAACUUGUAUCUCAGAACGUUGACGAAUUAUUUCAUUUGAUCAGCUUAUGUGGAAACUACUAAUUUUCAUUGCCUCUGUACACACACUUGCAUAUCUUUUUUCCUGGUGCUUAUUGGCAAUGGCCCACUCAUAGGCACGACCUAGAAGAAAAUAAGAUUGAAGAUGUAUUUUUCUUGGUUGGAAAUAUUACACCUCAAAUUUACUUGA